UACGUAGGGGGGCAAGCGUUGUCCGGAUUUAUUGGGCGUAAAGAGCGUGUAGGCGGUCAGGUAGGUCCGUUGUGAAAACUCGAGGCUCAACCUCGAGACGCCGAUGGAAAACCAUCUGACUAGAGUCCGGAAGAGGAGAGUGGAAUUCCUGGUGUAGCGGUGGAAUGCGCAGAUAUCAGGAGGAACACCAAUGGCGAAGGCAGCUCGCUGGGACGGUACUGACGCUGAGACGCGAAAGCGUGGGGAGCAAACAGG
rnacentral:rRNA from 1 species